AGCUCCAAGGGCGUAUAUUAAAGUUGUUGUGGUUAAAAAGCUCGUAGUUGAAUUUCGACUGAUUGUUAUUGAGAAUUGAACUAAGUUCAAUUUCUUUUUUAACAUUGAUCUUCUUUCUAAGUGACUUGUUCACUUAGAUAUUUUACUUUGAAAAAAUUAGAGUGUUUCAAGCAGACAAAUGUCUGGAUAUUACAGCAUGGAAUAAUGAAAAAAGACAUGAGCCUCAUUUUGUUGGUUUCUUUGGCUAGUGUAAUGACUAAUAGGGACAGUUGGGGUCGCUCGUAUUAGCUCGCUAGGGGUGAAAUCCUAUGAUUGAGUUAGGACGUACUACUGCGAAAGCAUUCGACCAGGAUGUCUUCA
rnacentral:rRNA from 1 species